rnacentral:rRNA from 1 species
GCACGGGUGAGUAACGCGUACCGAACCUGCCCAUCACACAGGGAUAGGCUUGCGAAAGCAAGAUUAAUACCUGAUGGUCUCAGUUGUAUGCAUGUAUGAUUGAGUAAAGCCUUCGGGCGGUGAUGGAUGGCGGUGCGUCCCAUUAGGAAGUUGGCGGGGUAACGGCCCACCAAUCCUUCGAUGGGUAGGGGUUCUGAGAGGAAGGUCCCCCACAUUGGAACUGAGAUACGGUCCAAACUCC